AACGAACGCUGGCGGCAUGCCUAACACAUGCCAGUCGAACGAUGCCUUCGGGCAUAGUGGCGCACGGGUGCGUAACGCGUGGGAAUCUGCCCUUGGCUUCGGAAUAACAGUUAGAAAUGACUGCUAAUACCGGAUGAUGUCCCCCUGAGAGAUCUUGGGGACCAAAGAUUUAUCGGCCAGGGAUGAGCCCGCGUAGGAUUAGGUAGUUGGUGGGGUAAAGGCCUACCAAGCCGACGAUCCUUAGCUGGUCUGAGAGGAUGAUCAGCCACACUGGGACUGAGACACGGCCCAGACUCCUACGGGAGGCAGCAGUGGGGAAUAUUGGAAAAUGGGGGGAACCCUGAUCCAGCAAUGCCGCGUGAGUGAUGAAGGCCUUAGGGUUGUAAAGCUCUUUUACCAGGGAUGAUAAUGACAGUACCUGGAGAAUAAGCUCCGGCUAACUCCGUG
rnacentral:rRNA from 1 species